rnacentral:rRNA from 1 species
ACAUGCCUACAACAUAGUGUUAAUGCAUUGGAUCCCAUUAGAACUCUGUAGUUAAGUGCUCUUAGGAUAGAAUAGUAAUGGGAUGGGUGACCAGUCGGGAAGUCCCAGUGUUCUACAUGCG